GCCCGGGUGGAGGAACUGGAAGACUCACCACCUUGAGGUGGUGGCGCUCGCAAGGGCUUGGGGGUUCGAAUCCCCCCUCGGGCA
rnacentral:tRNA from 1 species